GAGUUCCUCCCCUUCAACCCUUAUGUAGCUUGGCAGGGGGGAUCUAUCAAUGUCGUUUUUCUUUAUUACCGCAAUUCUGGUGCCCAACAGCUUUCCGUUUUUAUCCUUUUUGGACCUUACCUCUUGCACGGCUACAUAGUACUGCAAAGCUUCUGCAAUACUUUUGUUUUGGAGUGGUACCGGGACCCAACCAAUCAAAACUUCAAUAUUUUCGCUCUCAUACAGAAAUGUAUGUUUGAUUUUGUUGUCUUUUCUCAAUAAAUCAAGAAGUUCCAUCACCGCUUCUCUGGAGCAACUCGUACACAUCCUCUCUCUUACAUGGUUCCUCUGUCCGGAACCACAAACAGCAAGGCCUUUUUAAUUUAACAUUGGUGUUUCUCUUCACUGCCUGUGAGU